ensembl:snoRNA small nucleolar RNA, H/ACA box 33
CUGCCAGUAAGGCAAAAUCUGCUUAACCUACAAAUGUUUUGCAGAAGAUCAUUGCUGGCAAUACUAAUGCCCGAGUACGAGCCUUGAAGACUUUGUUGUCAUUGAGGUCCCAAUAAAGGCCACAUUG